rnacentral:rRNA from 1 species
GACGAACGCUGGCGGCGUGCUUAACACAUGCAAGUCGAACGGAAAGGCCCUGCUUGCAGGGUACUCGAGUGGCGAACGGGUGAGUAACACGUGGGUGAUCUGCCCUGCACUUCGGGAUAAGCCUGGGAAACUGGGUCUAAUACCGGAUAGGAGCCAUUUUUAGUGUGAUGGUUGGAAAGUUUUUUCGGUGUAGGAUGAGCUCGCGGCCUAUCAGCUUGUUGGUGGGGUAAUGGCCUACCAAGGCGGCGACGGGUAGCCGGCCUGAGAAGGUGGACGGCCACAUUGGGACUGAGAUACGGCCCAGACUCCUACGGGAGGCAGCAGUGGGGAAUAUUGCACAAUGGGCGCAAGCCUGAUGCAGCGACGCCGCGUGGGGGAUGACGGCCUUCGGGUUGUAAACUCCUUUCGCUAGGGACGAAGCUUUUUGUGACGGUACCUAGAUAAGAAGCACCGGCUAACUACGUG